rnacentral:lncRNA from 1 species
GCUCGACAUUAUAUGGCGUACCCAAGCCCUUUAUCUCACUGACCAGAAUCCAGAAACCAGAAGUUGGACCAUCUGGCUGCCUGUUGGAUCAAUGCUCCCGGUCAACUCACGUCUUCAAGGUCGUCACUGCCAUCACUACCACUACCAUCACCCCUGUGACCAUCACCACUGCUACCAUCACUCCUAUCAAUAGCCAUCACCAUACAGCCAUCACCCCUACAGCCAUCAGGCCUGCAGCCAUCCCCGCUGCCAUCAGCACACCUAUAGCCAUUGUCACUAUGGUAAUCACCUCUACAGUUGACAUCCUUCAGCCAUCACCUCUACAGUCAUCACCAUUGCUGCUAUCACCCUUCCAGCCAUCAUCCUUACAGCUGUCACCCUUCUGGACAUUACAGCCAACCGCACUCAUGACCCUCUCACCCCUAUAACCAUCGUCCCUACAGUCAUCUCUCCUACAACCAUCAUCACAUCCGUGCAGCCAUCAGCCCUGCAGCCAUCACUCCUACAGCCAUCAGUACACCUAAAGCCAUCAUCACUAGAGCAGUCACCCCUCCAGUCAGUACCCCUCAGCCAUCAUGAGUAUAUUUAUCACCACCACAGCUGAAAAGCACUUACAGCCAACUCCACACCUCUAGCAAGUAUCCAACAGGCAUUUAUCAAACACCUAUGCAGUAUAUUCAAUUUGUGGGUUGUCUGUGGCAGAUUUUAAUAACUUUAAUAACUUCUUGGUAUUACAAAAGCAACUUGUAUUUGUCAUACAAUUUCACAAACACAUAAACAAAAAAAAUUUCAAAAUUUCCCAUCAUUGUCCUCUACACUGUUUUAAGCAUCUAUCUACUCUCUGUCUAUAAACAUUUUUUUUCUUUUUACAAAAAUCAUACUGCUCAGAAAACAGAUAAUUGGUUUGGGGAGAAGGGGAGGGGAGAGAAGGGAAGGGAGACAUCACACAGGGUAACAGGAAGCUUUUAGGAGUGAUGAAUAUGUUCACUAUCUUGACUGUGGUGAUGAUUUCAUG